rnacentral:rRNA from 1 species
AUGUCUUCUUCCUCCAGUUCGGCUUCUUUCUCUAGCUUGAACAACACGAUCUCCGAACCCCUUAGCCGCACCAACUACAUCCUAUGGCGUGCCCAGGCUCGCUCUCAGAUCAUGGGAGCCGGCCUCUAUGGGUAUCUUGACCAAACAAUCCCUGAACCUACCAAAACAAUCUCGUCAAAAAACUCUGAAGGAAAGGAACAGAUUGUUCCAAAUCCCGCCUACACCCCUUGGUUAAUCCAAGACCAG